UACGUAGGGUGCAAGCGUUGUCCGGAAUUAUUGGGCGUAAAGAGCUCGUAGGCGGUCUGUCGCGUCGGACGUGAAAACCCAGGGCUCAACCCUGGGCCUCGUCGUAUACGGGCAGACUAGAGUUCGGUAGGGGAGACUGGAAUUCCGUGGUGAGCGGUGAAAUGCGCAGAUAUCAGGAGGAACACCGGUGGCGAAGGCGGGUCUCUGGGCCGUAACUGACGCUGAGGAGCGAAAGCGUGGGGAGCGAACAGG
rnacentral:rRNA from 1 species